UACAAGAAUAAAGAAAUAUGUCCCCGGGGAAGAUGUUAUUUUAGAUUGUAAAGUUAAAACUACUUGUAAUCGUACGAUCUCUUGGUUUUUUGAAAAUAAAGUUGUUUGGACUGGAGACAAACUUAAUAAAAUGAGUAACAAUUCAGUAAGAUACGAAAUAACAGAAAAAAUGAAUCUUCGAAUUAAGAAUACAAGUAUUGAUGACGAAGGGAAAUAUACGUGUCUAUCUGUUCCUCCUGUGAAUAAUGGAAAAUAUACAGUGACAUUGAAAAGU
rnacentral:lncRNA from 1 species